rnacentral:rRNA from 1 species
GAUGAACGCUGGCGGCGUGCCUAAUACAUGCAAGUCGAGCGAACAGACGAGGAGCUUGCUCCUUUGACGUUAGCGGCGGACGGGUGAGUAACACGUGGGUAACCUACCUAUAAGACUGGGAUAACUUCGGGAAACCGGAGCUAAUACCGGAUAAUAUUUCGAACCGCAUGGUUCGAUAGUGAAAGAUGGCUUUGCUAUCACUUAUAGAUGGACCUGCGCCGUAUUAGCUGGUUGGUAAGGUAACGGCUUACCAAGGCAACGAUACGUAGCCGACCUGAGAGGGUGGUCGGCCACACUGGAGCUGAGACACGGUCCAGACGCCUACGGGAGGCCGCAGUCGGGAAUCUUCCGCAAUGGGCGAAAGCCUGACGGAGCAACGCCGCGUGAGUGAUGAAGGUCUUCGGAUCGUAAAGCUCUGUUAUUAGGGAAGAACAAACGUGUAAGUAACUGUGCACGUCUUGACGGUACCUAAUCAGAAAGCCACGGCUAACUACGUG